AACCAGACUCCUACGGGAGGCAGCAGUGAGGAAUAUUGGUCAAUGGGCUUACGCCUGAACCAGCCAAGCCGCGUGAGGGAGGAAGGCGCAGAGCGUCGCAGACCUCUUUUGCCGGGGGACAAAAGGCCGGACUCGUCCGGUCCUGAGGGUACCCGGAGAAAAAGCAUCGGCUAACUCCGUGCCAGCAGCCGCGGUAAUACGUAUGGAGCAAGCGUUAUCCGGAAUUACUGGGUGUAAAGGGAGCGUAGGCGGCAAGGCAAGUCUGAUGUGAAAACCCAGGGCCCAACCCUGGGACUGCAUUGGAAACUGUAUUGCUUGAGUACCGGAGAGGCAGGCGGAAUUCCUAGUGUAGCGGUGAAAUGCGUAGAUAUUAGGAGGAACACCAGUGGCGAAGGCGGCCUGCUGGACGGUAACUGACGCUGAGGCUCGAAAGCGUGGGGAGCAAACAGGAUUAGAUACCCCUGUACA
rnacentral:rRNA from 1 species